AACGAAUUUGAUUCUGGUUUUUUUUGUUAAGAUAUUAAAGAAUUAUACAUGUAAGUUAGUGAGCGCCCCGGUGAGGACCCGAGAGAGUUAGAUAAUAAAUUCAAAAUUUUCUUGUUAAUGAGUCGGAAGUGUUACUAUUUUAUUUAAAGUAGAAUGCCUGUUAAAUAGCGUCACACCUACAGUAUUAAAUAUUAAACUUUGCCUGAGAAGGUGAUUUAAUCAUAUAAUUAAGGUAAACUGACGGAGAUAUCGUGCCAGCAGUCGCGGUUAAACGAACAGUUUUUUUAACAUAAUAAGUAGCUUAAUACAAAUAUUCUUAAUAAAAAGAAAGGGAGAUAAAAAAAAAAGGUAGAAUUUAAUUCUUGUUGUCCUAAUUAAAAAUAAGAAGAGAUUGUGAAAAUAGGGGCCUAAACCUGGUUUUGAUAUCCAGUUAUUCCCUAAUAAUAAAGUUAAUGCUGGUAGUGUAAGAAGGAAAUCUUUGACAAACAAAGAACUUGGCGGUGAUUUAAUUCUGAUUAGGGGAGCUUGUCUGAAUAAAAUGAUAGUCCACAUUAUACCUAACCUUUUCUUGUUUGUUCAGCCUCUAUAUCAUCGUCAUUAAGUUUUCAUUGUGAACUAGAAGGCUAGUAAUUCCUAUAUAAAAGGACGGAUGUCAGAUCGAGACGGAGCCUAUGAGGAGGUGAGGAUGAGCUACAAUACCUAAUUGGUGAUAAGAAAUUAGAUAUGGAUAAGAUGAUGAAAUAAAUUAUUAAAAGAGGACUUGAUAGUAAUUUACUAGGAGAGAGAGUAUAUGAAGUAAGCUCUAAAUUGCGUACACAUCGCCCGUCACCUAUGGGGUUAACCUAUAGUAAGUCGUAACAAAGUAGGCGUACCGGAAGGUGCAGCCUGGCUGAUA
rnacentral:ncRNA from 1 species